UGCCCAGGGCUACACACGUGCUACAAUGGGCGGUAACAAAGGGUAGCGAUGCCGCGAGGUGAAGCCAAUCCCAAAAAGACCGUCCACAGUUCGGAUUGGAGGUCUGCAACUCGACUCCAUGAAGCCGGAAUCGCUAGUAAUCGUGGAUCAGCAUGCCACGGUGAAUACGUUCCCGGGCCUU
rnacentral:rRNA from 1 species